UCCCGAACCCGCCUGGAGCUGGCGGCAGCCGCUGCUCGUGCUGACAAAAACAUCCUCUAGAGGGAACUGCCAGCCCAGAGAUUGUUCCAGUGCCGCCAGGAAAGGAGCAUCACCCCACGAGGGCGUGAUCGGGACCAGGAGUGGAGAUACCGCAUGGUCAGGGCGGCCGCCUCCCUUCCCAGUGACCGUCCCGCCUGCCAGCUCACCUGGGGACAGCGCUGGGCUGCGGCACGAGGCUCUGGGGGCAGCAAAAACCUGCGUGCCACAGUCCUGGCAGAGUCCUGGCACUCCGGCAGCCCUGCCGGGCGCAGUCCCUCCCCACCGUGGGGACAGCACAGGCUGGAGAGCGGUACCCCGGCUCCCAGGUGUCCUGUUCCCUGCAGGGGACAAUCGGGACCCCUCUGCAGAGCCCCUCGUCCCUCUGCUUUCCAGGACAAGAGCCCAUCAAGGUGAUCGGGGUUGUCUUGGGCAUCGGGCUGGCCCUGCUGAUCCUGGCGAGUUUUGGCUACACCUUCAUCCGCUGGUACCGGAGGAGCCACUCCCUGCGCCGGCCUGACUUUGUCUUCAACCUCUACCACUCACGCGGGCUGGGGUCGGUGGCACUGGAGCUGGUGCCACCAUUCAGCAUCAGUGGCUCGCUGGGCACCUCGGGCAGUG